AUGGACGCAGAAGCCGGGGAGAACGCUGGUGAAGCGGAACAGAUAACAGAUGGCGAUUGGACUGGCACACACACACUGCCAAUGAUCUCGGAACAGAGACUGGAUCGUGUGUUCUCAUCAAACCAUGACAGGCCUGCAGAUGCGCCGGAGCGCGACCAUGGCCUAGACCCCGGGUACUUCGUUGUUACUUGGCACGUGAACCAUCCAGUCUUCAGUCCAGAUGGGCAGAGCAUCGCGGUGACAUCGGACCUUGCUGCGGUGUCCACUAACCCAAUGUCGCCUCCAAUCUUCUUGCACUCGGUGAGGCCCUAUUGUGACAUCUUCACCGUUGAUAUCGACCCUGACGACAUGGAGGAGAACCAGGAUGUGGAGAAGUUUGCCCGUGUCACGCAUAACAGAUACGAGAACUCCACUCCUGCCUGGUCCGUGUUCUCGACUCAUGACCCGCAUGCACAGUGGAACCUCCUUGUCAUGGAGGAAAGUUACACCCCGUCGUGCCCGUAUGCAAAUUGA
rnacentral:rRNA from 1 species